rnacentral:sRNA from 1 species
GGUGUGUGCAAGGACUCCCUCCCGUUGCUCAGCAUUUCUUAUUCAUCCUUGGGCCUAAUCCACGCUUGUUAAGUUCUUAACCAAACUUUAAGCCUACCCCCCCCAAAAUGCUCCAAACGCCUAACCCCAACGGGGCCAGCGUGUCCAGAACAAAAAGGGAACAAAACUCGAUGGAUCAAACCUUGAAUGCCCGCCCCACUUAGCCACAAUAAAUAUGUCAUCGUUGGUCUAUUAUUAGCAGUUUGAAAGAUUAUCGUUCAUGGAAAUAUCAAUUGACAAGAAGAAGAAUUGCGUCUUCGAAUCUUCAUCAAUUUGAUUUGACAGCAUUUGACAACGGUAGAUCCUCUCCUCCUUCUUGGGGGGAGGUUUGCCACCAUCGCUAAGGUUCUUUUUGACCUUACUACUACUGAUUGCCACGGACGAACUAGUUAACUCAAUUGAAGAGCUCGCCAAUAUCAGCAAGCAAGUUAAGUAAACUGGUUUGGGACAAAACCCAUUGAAUUGAUAUAUGACAUUUCAGAAAUAUAUCAGACAAACGUUCCUCGAAGUUGCCCCUGGAAGCCGCAGCUUAACACAACCACUCCGCUUCCCUGUUUCUGCUUCACCUCUUUACUUACUUCCUUUCGCCUCAACCUAAAAAAGAAUACGCUUUUGGAGGGAGCACUGGUGGCCGAAUGAGCGGGGCUCGCUCGCUCGCUCUCUCUCUUCAAGCAUCCAGCCCUCCCAACAACGACAUUGAAAAAAGGGGUCCAAUGUGCCGGAAAACCCGGUACGAUUGCGCUAUUUUGUAUGACGUUUAACGGGUCUUGAGCAUUUGCCACAUUGACAUGGCUGGUUAUCUUGUUGAAGUUUAAUAUUAUUAGGGACUCAUUGUAAUCAUCUAUCUCUCUAUCAAUUGAGUAUUGAACCUUUGUCCGAUUUUUGAAGUAAAAUAACUUAGAAAAAAAAAAAAUAAAAGACAAAUGAUAUAGUAUAUGCGUGUGAUGGAAACACGGCCCUCCGUCACAUUAUAUCGAGUAUUGAUGUUUGUUUCUGCAAUAAUGAGAACUUGUCACGUAAAACUAGAAACACAACUGAGGUGUUUCUAGUUUUACUAACCUUUUCUAGAUAAGCAGCUGUUUAUUUUCACAUAUGCUGUGAGUGAAGAGACUGUGACAUCUACCCGAGCAUUUCUCUGGAUUUUUCUAAUGUAUCCAAAUCUUAGUUCACAAAAGUGUCUACCACUUGCAAUAAUAGAAUUCCAACUCAGAAUCAACCAGCACUGCUUAAAAAAAAGUGCUAUACAAAGUGCAUAAGUAAUAAUUGAAAGAAUUUUUCAAAGCUUGUUGUCCGGAAAAUGUCCCGACUGUGAAAAAAAAAAAAAAUUUGAGAGAGAGAGAGAUGCGGGUAAAGGGCCCUCGGGACAGAUUUGAGAAGUAGUGCUUAACGCAGAGAUUAUUGGAAGGUAGCCAUGAAUUCUGCAGCCCGGUCUUAAAAGAGGCUCCGGACCUUUGUGUCA